UACUACGGCCAUGCCACCCUGAACAUGCCCGAUCUCAUCUGAUCUCGAAAGCAAAGCAGGGUCAGGCCUGGUUAGUACUUGGAUGGGAGACCACUUCGGAAUACCAGGUGCUGUAGGUG
rnacentral:rRNA from 1 species